AAUGGGUCAGCGACUUAUAUUCUGUAGCAAGGUUAACCGAAUAGGGGAGCCGAAGGGAAACCGAGUCUUAACUGGGCGUUAAGUUGCAGGGUAUAGACCCGAAACCCGGUGAUCUAGCCAUGGGCAGGUUGAAGGUUGGGUAACACUAACUGGAGGACCGAACCGACUAAUGUUGAAAAAUUAGCGGAUGACUUGUGGCUGGGGGUGAAAGGCCAAUCAAACCGGGAGAUAGCUGGUUCUCCCCGAAAGCUAUUUAGGUAGCGCCUCGUGAAUUCAUCUCCGGGGGUAGAGCACUGUUUCGGCAAGGGGGUCAUCCCGACUUACCAACCCGAUGCAAACUGCGAAUACCGGAGAAUGUUAUCACGGGAGACACACGGCGGGUGCUAACGUCCGUCGUGAAGAGGGAAACAACCCAGACCGCCAGCUAAGGUCCCAAAGUCAUGGUUAAGUGGGAAACGAUGUGGGAAGGCCCAGACAGCCAGGAUGUUGGCUUAGAAGCAGCCAUCAUUUAAAGAAAGCGUAAUAGCUCACUGGUCGAGUCGGCCUGCGCGGAAGAUGUAACGGGGCUAAACCAUGCACCGAAGCUGCGGCAGCGACACUAUGUGUUGUUGGGUAGGGGAGCGUUCUGUAAGCCUGUGAAGGUGUACUGUGAGGUAUGCUGGAGGUAUCAGAAGUGCGAAUGCUGACAUAAGUAACGAUAAAGCGGGUGAAAAGCCCGCUCGCCGGAAGACCAAGGGUUCCUGUCCAACGUUAAUCGGGGCAGGGUGAGUCGACCCCUAAGGCGAGGCCGAAAGGCGUAGUCGAUGGGAAACAGGUUAAUAUUCCUGUACUUGGUGUUACUGCGAAGGGGGGACGGAGAAGGCUAUGUUGGCCGGGCGACGGUUGUCCCGGUUUAAGCGUGUAGGCUGGUUUUCCAGGCAAAUCCGGAAAAUCAAGGCUGAGGCGUGAUGACGAGGCACUACGGUGCUGAAGCAACAAAUGCCCUGCUUCCAGGAAAAGCCUCUAAGCAUCAGGUAACAUCAAAUCGUACCCCAAACCGACACAGGUGGUCAGGUAGAGAAUACCAAGGCGCUUGAGAGAACUCGGGUGAAGGAACUAGGCAAAAUGGUGCCGUAACUUCGGGAGAAGGCACGCUGAUAUGUAGGUGAAGUCCCUCGCGGAUGGAGCUGAAAUCAGUCGAAGAUACCAGCUGGCUGCAACUGUUUAUUAAAAACACAGCACUGUGCAAACACGAAAGUGGACGUAUACGGUGUGACGCCUGCCCGGUGCCGGAAGGUUAAUUGAUGGGGUCAGCGCAAGCGAAGCUCUUGAUCGAAGCCCCGGUAAACGGCGGCCGUAACUAUAACGGUCCUAAGGUAGCGAAAUUCCUUGUCGGGUAAGUUCCGACCUGCACGAAUGGCGUAAUGAUGGCCAGGCUGUCUCCACCCGAGACUCAGUGAAAUUGAACUCGCUGUGAAGAUGCAGUGUACCCGCGGCAAGACGGAAAGACCCCGUGAACCUUUACUAUAGCUUGACACUGAACAUUGAGCCUUGAUGUGUAGGAUAGGUGGGAGGCUUUGAAGUGUGGACGCCAGUCUGCAUGGAGCCGACCUUGAAAUACCACCCUUUAAUGUUUGAUGUUCUAACGUUGACCCGUGAUCCGGGUUGCGGACAGUGUCUGGUGGGUAGUUUGACUGGGGCGGUCUCCUCCUAAAGAGUAACGGAGGAGCACGAAGGUUGGCUAAUCCUGGUCGGACAUCAGGAGGUUAGUGCAAUGGCAUAAGCCAGCUUGACUGCGAGCGUGACGGCGCGAGCAGGUGCGAAAGCAGGUCAUAGUGAUCCGGUGGUUCUGAAUGGAAGGGCCAUCGCUCAACGGAUAAAAGGUACUCCGGGGAUAACAGGCUGAUACCGCCCAAGAGUUCAUAUCGACGGCGGUGUUUGGCACCUCGAUGUCGGCUCAUCACAUCCUGGGGCUGAAGUAGGUCCCAAGGGUAUGGCUGUUCGCCAUUUAAAGUGGUACGCGAGCUGGGUUUAGAACGUCGUGAGACAGUUCGGUCCCUAUCUGCCGUGGGCGCUGGAGAACUGAGGGGGGCUGCUCCUAGUACGAGAGGACCGGAGUGGACGCAUCACUGGUGUUCGGGUUGUCAUGCCAAUGGCACUGCCCGGUAGCUAAAUGCGGAAGAGAUAAGUGCUGAAAGCAUCUAAGCACGAAACUUGC
rnacentral:rRNA from 1 species